GUGUUCAUGUGACUGUGGGAGCCAAGGGAGCAGAGGUGUCGGUGACACAGGGAGAGGAACGGAGAGAGAGACGAUAGAUACGGAGGGAGUGACAUGGCUGUCAGUAUCGGUUCUGUUUGCUCCAAGCCAAGUCAGAGUGAAAACCCCGUUACGCUAGAGAGAGGGAAGGAAAUGUUCAAGAUUCUGGACGAGGGACAGAGCGGAUGGAGAAGGGGAAAGGCUGGAUGGAUACAAAGGGAGAGAGAGGGAGCGUCCCUCCUGCUGUACCCACCUGCCCCCCUACAUAUGCCGGGAAAAUGAGAAUAGAUUGGCCCAUCCGUGGAUGAUGCCAGGUGGCAUUUAGACCCCCGAGAAGAUACGAGUGCAGUCUAUCUACCUCACGGUGACAGACGUUGAGCCUGGAGAGAGAGGAAAAGAAAAAAGGAAGCAAGUCGGAAAGGAUGAAAACGGAGGAGGGGGAAAGCAGAAAAACCCUAAGCAAAAGCCAUGACUUCCUGCCAUCUGGGUAAGCAGUUUUUAUUGUUUUCGAGCAUGAAAACAAGAACUCUAAUUAUAGCAUUGUGAUUAUACUACAGUAUGCCAAUGACCAUGAUACCCCUGGCACAGGAGUGGAACUGUUUCUACAGGCCCAGAAUGACCCUUUAGUGGCUAAUGUUACAUGAUGAGGCUUUUUCAGGGUGAUUAAUGAAAAGGAUGGGGAGGACAAGAGAUGGAGAGAUAGAAGGUGAGGGAAUGGGGGAAGGGUGAUCGUGACAAAUCGUUUGGGGGUUCUUCAAAACAACACUGGCAGAUAGAUGGUGGCAGUGUGUGUCUUUCAUUAUCAGUGACCCGCUGUUCAAUCAACGCCAGAGAAAGACGGCCACAGUCCAGAGAACUGGGCUACAGGACAAAGUAUCAUCCCAUCAUCACUCAAGUCCCCCUCUCUUAACACAUACGCGCACACACAGAUAUAUCUUCUCAAACACUCGCCUCUACCCCUCAAACGACCCCACACACAUUGAUGAGAUGUGAGGGUUCUGACCCCAGACUGGAUGUGCCCUCUUACCCCUCAGGACCCAAAGAAAGGGCGCCAUCCAUGCAGGUGCCAUGGUAACACUGUCGUGGCAGGUCGAGUCUCAUGAACGAUGAUGCUGGUGAUGUCAUUAACCCGGUGGGAGGAGCAUCCCACCAGUUUUCCCAUAAUCACCAGCUGCCUCUUUCCAUUAGCAUUCAAAAUAAUUCCUAUUGCUUUAAUUCCUACCG